CGAACGCUGGCGGCAGGCCUAACACAUGCAAGUCGAGCGCACCUUCGGGUGAGCGGCGGACGGGUUAGUAACGCGUGGGAAUGUACCCUUCUCUACGGAAUAGCCAUUGGAAACGAUGAGUAAUACCGUAUACGCCCUUUUGGGGAAAGAUUUAUCGGAGAAGGAUCAGCCCGCGUUAGAUUAGAUAGUUGGUGGGGUAAUGGCCUACCAAGUCUACGAUCUAUAGCUGGUUUUAGAGGAUGAUCAGCAACACUGGGACUGAGACACGGCCCAGACUCCUACGGGAGGCAGCAGUGGGGAAUCUUAGACAAUGGGCGCAAGCCUGAUCUAGCCAUGCCGCGUGAGUGAUGAAGGCCUUAGGGUCGUAAAGCUCUUUCGCCAGGGAUGAUAAUGACAGUACCUGGUAAAGAAACCCCGGCUAACUCC
rnacentral:rRNA from 1 species